GGCACUGACCUUUCAUACAUUCCUUUGCAACCUAUCCCCAGAACUCCCCUAGCUGCUUACUCUCCUGUUGCUAUCUCAUUUCUUAUUGCUCACCUUUGUUUUGUUUUGUUUUGUUUUGGAAGCAAAGGCCAAAGGCAAAAGCUGACUACUGAAAAAAAUCGGCAAACUCGAACCAGGGUCUUAACUAAGAGCCCAGCUGUUGCAUAACUCCCAGAACUCCAGUCAAUCAACCUCACUUGGACACUUCUCUGAAAUGCCUUGCAAAUCUAAACCAGCAAAAGCAGAUGUGGGAAAAAACCACACACAGAAAAAAAUAUAUUGUGGGAUUCGGGAACCAAUGGGUCCAAACCAAAAGAAGGUAAGAGUCAAGUCCCAGGACAAGAUCAAGAUGAGUAUAGAGCAUAUGUAGAAAGAAAAUGGUUUAGAUUGGAUAAUUAAGGAAAGGCAUGUAAUUAUAAACCUAAAGGCAAAAAAACCCUCAGUUAAGUGAAUAGUGAUCUGAUUAAAAAACAAACUAAUAAUAAGAACAAAUACUUGUAUAAAGCUAACUACAUAACAAACACUUUUUAAUAAUUUUGUGUAUACUGAUUAAUUAUCCCUCACAAAUAAAUGAAUACCAUCCAUAUUUUUGAGAUAAACUGAAGCAUAAACAGUUUGACUUGACAAAGUCCCAAGCUAACAUAUGGGCAAGGCUGGGCCUCGGCCGCAGCAACCUGACUCUAGAUUUUAUGCUGCUAACCACUGUAGUCUAUUUCCCAUUUAAAGUGGAUGAUGUCUCUGUUGAUUUUUAACUGAUUAUUUCUGUAAAAUGGGGAUAUAUUUUUAAGUCAGUGAAAAGGAGAUUCUCCUGAGAAAAAGAUUAAGAUGGAAGAGGGCAGAGUUCAGAGGCUAGUUCAAGUUGCUUUAUUAUGUCAAGAGAAAGGGGAGAUAGAGUGCACAGAAUUGAAGGUAAGUUUUUUGUAUGUUUUCCAGAUGAUAGUAUGUCUAUCUGAUUGCUAGAUUUUCCUUUGUAAAGUGAGAAAUGAGGUCAUUGGCCAGGAAUGUAGGACCAAACGUGCGCUCAGAGAUUUACAGAAACUAGGAAGACUUUCAAAUAAUUCUUGUGCAGAGUGGAGUAAUGGUUGACUAAAAGAAUCUAGUAGGAUUGCCAAGCAGCACGGCCGGUUACUAAUCCUGAAUUUCAAGUAGGUCUACUCUUCCCUGAUCUGUGGCUUUCUCCAGAAGCACUCAACACAUUGUAUGCAAACAGAAAAGAAGGAGAUAACUGGGUCUUCUGAGAGGGAGAAGAAAGAAGUUGUCAUGUGAAGCCAUCGGUGGGGUGCUAGGAGAAAGCCAGUGCCUUGCCUUGUUGUCUGAAGUCCAGGAAGUGUGAGAAAAUACACAGCAACUAUUCAUGCACAGUAGGGGACAUUAUGGUCCCAGGUGAGAACCAGACCUAAAGUUCUCGAUGAAGCCUGAAGAAGUAAACAACUUGCCAGAUUCCAUCGGUCUCAGCACCGGAGAGGCUCUAAAACUCACCGUCUUUAAACCACAUGUGCUUAAGAGAAUAUUCUUCCUGAAAAAUAUGUAAAACUGUAAAUUAAUCUGAAAGUCUGUAAAUAAAUUUAAUUUG